ACAGACUAGUCUGGAGGGGAAGGCUUUAACAGCACGAGGAAUUUGUAAUAGAAGUCAAAUAUUAGCACAAGCAAGAUGAUAUCUUGCCCAAAUGAGACUUGAUUACAUUAUUAAUCUCGAUAGUUAUACAUGAUUUUGUGUGCGUGUGAUUUGAAUACAGGAUUAAAAGCCACGAGAUGAGUCACUGAGAUGAGCUGGUUCCUUGGGAAACCCAGGCAGGACUUCCCACGGAUCAGAACUUCCAUGGCCCCUGGGCUCAUAAAAGUCAGAAAAAAGUCAAGCCAGAGCCCCCUGCACGCCGGCAGACGCUGUAAAUUACGCGGGAGCGCCGACAGGAUACACCUUCCAUGGAGCAGCUCUGCGUCUGACUCCGAGCUUAUUCCCUUUUGUGACUUUGUGACACGCUUGAUACCGGCUCAAUGUAUCCGCACGUACAGUAUUUGAUCUAUAACAAAUUGUUUUAUUAUGCGCAAUGACUGGAGAUAAUUAUGAUGGAAUACACAUUUUUAAAUGGGUUCCAGCGCCUCGGAUGGCUCAUUACCUACACGGGGAGGAAACCGUCUGCGUUUCUGGGCGCAGAAGCAGAGAGACAAAAUGUAAUCAACGCAUUUAGAAAUAGAAUACAAGCGCCUCGUUCCGAAGUGGGCAUAUUAAAUGCACGACAGAGGAAUGGUUUUAAUGUUGCCAUGUAUAAUUAGUGGCUGGAAUGUAGGCAGAUAUCGUUAUGUUGGUUUUUUGCUGCCGAAUCGCCUCGUAUUGAUAGGAGCUGAGGGAAGGGAUGGCUUCUCGCGGGGCACUUGGGGUGGGAGCCUCAACUAUGAGCUGCAUUCAGUGGUUUUAUAAAAAUGUGCGAAGAAAGGGGAAAAAAAAAAUGCCAUUCCAUUCUGCUCCUUGCUUUGACACCGCCUAAAUUAAAUGCAGAGUUGCGUUGGCUUUGCGUGUUGUUUUCUGGCUCGUUUGACAUUUAAUACUGUUGUAUCGCGAACGUUCAUCUCAGCUGAGAUACUGAAGGCAAAUGCCCAAUUUAGACCAAAUGUGUGGGGAAAGACAUCCCGAAGCCAACGGGGCCAACGGGGUGCAUGGGGAGCGCGGGAGGCUCGUGUGUGCCCCGAGGAUGGGGAUGGGAGAGGUUUGCAGGGAUGCUGUGAGUGUGGGGACUGAGUGGGGCUCCAGCACAGCUCGGGCCGACGGAGCUGCUCUUCUUUGGGUUAUUGGUACUUCGUAACAAGGGUGGAUAAAACUCGUUUUCUCCAUAAAACUCUCGUUAAGCUUGGGUCGAAGGUAGAUUUUAAAAGUUGAUUGUAAACAACGUGGUUCUCUGGGCUUUUUACUGUCCCUGCUGCCGUGAUGCUAGCACAUUCAAUAAAUGUCAUGUUAUCGUAUGUCUGAAGUUCA
rnacentral:lncRNA from 1 species